rnacentral:rRNA from 1 species
AAGACCUUGCGCUUUUGGAGCGGCCGAUGUCUGAUUAGCUAGUUGGUAGGGUAAUGGCCUACCAAAGCUUCGAUCAGUAGCUGGUCUGAGAGGACGACCAGCCACACUGGGACUGAGACACGGCCCAGACUCCUACGGGAGGCAGCAGUGGGGAAUUUUGGACAAUGGGCGCAAGCCUGAUCCAGCCAUGCCGCGUGAGUGAAGAAGGCCUUCGGGUUGUAAAGCUCUUUCAGCCGGGAAGAAAAGGUUGCGACUAAUAAUCGCAAUCCAUGACGGUACCGAAAGAAGAAGCACCGGCUAACUACGUGCCAGCAGCCGCGGUAAUACGUAGGGUGCGAGCGUUAAUCGGAAUUACUGGGCGUAAAGGGUGCGCAGGCGGUUUUGUAAGUCAGAUGUGAAAUCCCCGGGCUUAACCUGGGAACU